rnacentral:rRNA from 1 species
GUGCCUGUCACACUCCAAGUCCGCCGCUUACCCACACGGGUGUCUUUUGCACUGGUCUUAACAGCCACGUGUGAUUGUGCUUCAUGAGUAAAACUCUUCUUAGAGGGAUUCACGGUUCUGAAGCCGUAAGAAACUGAGAGCAAUAACAGGUCUGUGAUGCCCUUAGAUGUUCUGGGCCGCACGCGCGCUACAAUGCCGGGCACAGCAGGUUCAUGUCCUUCUCCGAGAGGAGUGGGGAACCCUCUGAAAGCCCUUUAACACAACUUAUCAAAGGGGUUCGCUCGCCUCGUGCUUGCGUUCUUCUUCCUUGGCAUGCUUGGGCCUGGGGCUUGCAAUUCUUUCCCACAAACGAGGAAUGCCUAGUAGCGGCGGAUCACUGAGUUCGCUGUGACUCAGUCCCUGCCCUUUGUACACACCGCCCGUCGCUACUACCGAUUGGGUGUACCAGUGAGAUCCUUGGACUGGCGAGCCUUGUAUCACUUCCAGCAAKGGGGGUGUUCAAGUGUGUACGACGGAAAGAGGCUCGAACUGGUGCACUUAGAGGAA